rnacentral:rRNA from 1 species
AAUAGAUACCCUGGUAGUCCACGCCGUAAACGAUGAGUGCUAAGUGUUAGAGGGUUUCCGCCCUUUAGUGCUGCAGCAAACGCAUUAAGCACUCCGCCUGGGGAGUACGGCCGCAAGGCUGAAAACUCAAAGGAAUUGACGGGGGCCCGCACAAGCGGUGGAGCAUGUGGUUUAAUUCGAAGCAACGCGAAGAACCUUACCAGGUCUUGACAUCUCCUGACAACCCUAGAGAUAGGGCGUUCCCCUUCGGGGGACAGGAUGACAGGUGGUGCAUGGUUGUCGUCAGCUCGUGUCGUGAGAUGUUGGGUUAAGUCCCGCAACGAGCGCAACCCUUGAUCUUAGUUGCCAGCAUUCAGUUGGGCACUCUAAGGUGACUGCCGGUGACAAACCGGAGGAAGGUGGGGAUGACGUCAAAUCAUCAUGCCCCUUAUGACCUGGGCUACACACGUGCUACAAUGGAUGGUACAAAGGGCUGCAAGACCGCGAGGUUAAGCGAAUCCCAUAAAACCGAUUCUCAGUUCGGAUUGCAGG